GGCACCGCUCAGCCUUCGGUGUGAGGGGGAGAGAGCCUCGUCCCUUCCCCGCGCCGGGAAUAAAGGUGCCCCUGAGCGAUGAUAAUGCUCUUCCAAUCCCCCUUUUGGGGGUAUAGAGGUCCUCGAGAGGGAGAUGCUCUUCCGUUCCCCUCUUGUGGAAUAAAGAUGCCCGUGAGGGGAAAACUCAGCGCGGGAGGGAUAUUCUCCAUUUCCCUUCAGAGAAUAAAGAUGCCCGUGAGGGAAAAAGUGUGGGAGGGAAAGGUGCUCUUUCAUUCUUUUUUGAGGAACAAAGGUGCCCGCGAGGGGAAAACUCAGAAGAACCCAGAAGAAUAAAUGUGCCCAUGAGGGGAAAAGCACGUGAGGGAGGGAGAGGCUCUUCCAAUCACUUCUUGCUCAGUGAAGGUGCCGUGAGGGGAAAAGGGCGGGAACGAGAUGCCCGUCCUUUCCCGUGAGGGGAAAAGCGUGUGAGGGAGGCAGAUGCUCUUCCACUCCUCUCCUAGGGAAUAAAGUGUUAAAGUGCCCGUGAGGGGAAAACUCGUGGCAGGAGGAUAUUCUUCAUUUCCCUUAGGAGAAUAAAUGUGCCCGUAAAGGGAAAAGCACGUGAGGGAGGAGAGAGAAACUCUCCCGCUCCCCUUUGCGGGUGCCGUGAGGGAAGGAAAAAGCGCGGGAGGGAGAUGCUCUUCCUUUCCCCUUUGAAGAAUAAAGGUGCGUGUGAGGGAGGGAAAUGCUCUUCCAUUCUCACCUGAGGGAAUAAAGAUGGGGGUGAGGGAAAAACUCGGCACGGGAGGGAUAUUCUCCAUUUCCUUUAGGAGAAUAAAGGUGCCCGUGAGGAAAAAAGCACGGAAGGGAGAGAAAGGAGGAAGGGAGAAGCUCUUCCAUUUCCCUUGGGCGAAUAAAGGUGAAAACUUGGCGCGGGAGGGAGGGCGAUGCUCUUCCAUUCCCCUCAUAUGGAAUAAAGACGCCCAUGAGGAGAGAAGGGUGGGAAGGAGACGCUCUUCCAUUCCCCUCUUGAGGUAUAAAGACACCCGUGAGGGAAAAGCUCGGUGUGGGAGAGAGAUGACUUUCCAUUCCCCUCUUAGGGAGUAAAAGUAUCCGUGAGGGGAAGAGUGUGGUAGGAAAAGAUGCUCUUUCAUUCUCCUUCGGGGAAUAAAGGUGCCCAUGAGGGAGAAACCUCAGUGCAGGACUGAGAUGUUCUUCCGUUUUCCUUUUUUUGAGAAUAAAGGUGCCUGUGAUGGGGAAAACUCGUACCCUCAGGAGGUGAAAUCCAGAAGCAGGGCAGGUUUUCCCCUCGGGAAGUGGAAUCUAGAAGCAGGACAGGUUUUCUCCUCAGAAGGUACACACAGACACGCACCAGGAUGAACCGCUGCCAGGGCAGAUGUUUGCAGUGGAGUCAGAGCCAGAAGAACCUGGACUGCAGCCACCUCAGCGAGGAGUGGAAAGAAGGGAAAAUCCCUCUCUAACAUUAAUAAAGAACUGAAAAUUCCACAGCAGUUCUUGAAGAUUUCUUCUGUGCUACAGCGUCUGCUCUGAUGUGACCAAAAUUCCCCAUCAACUUUAAGGGAACUUCCUGAGAAAAUUGUAUCUCGGAUUUCCCCAUCACCAUGGGUUGUACUUCAUAACCUGUAACAGCAGGAAAGCCACAACAUCAC